rnacentral:misc_RNA from 2 species
AACGCACAUUGCGCCCCCUGGCAUUCCGGGGGGCAUGCCUGUUCGAGCGUCAUUACACCAAUCAAGCACCGCUUGGCGAUGGACACCGCCCGACCCCAGCGGCCGGGCGCGUCCCAAAAGAGUCGGCAGAGUCACACGGACCGCCGGGCGUAGCAGAGAGGACCUAGCGUCGUCGACGUCCGGACGCUCCGCGUCUCCAGCCGUGCGAGCCACGCCGUCCCCGAGAGGGGAUGGCACCAAAGGUUGACCUCGGAUCAGGUAGGGAUACCCGCUGAACUUAA